UCAAGAUAAAGCAACGCUGAUGAUCGCAUCGCUUAAACUUGUUGAUUAAUAUCAUCCUUUACAGGUCAGUGGUCACGCCUCUUUAUUUCACUCGGCACGGCGGCAGUCGCUGGAGCCUGCAGGACGCUUGACAGCUCAACAACUUUAUCCUCAGAUGAACUUAUCCAAACAUGACAGAAGGUGGUGUAACUAUGACAGAAGCUGAAGCACAGAAAUUCAGAGGGUGAACACAACACACCAUACCCAAUUGUCCAGGUGACCCAAGAAGACUGGAAGUCCACAUUUGAGGGACGAAGCUCCUGUUCCCUGAAGGUAGACAGGGUCGAGGUGUGUGAAGGCAUGAAGGUAGAGGAAGCCAUGAUCUUCUCGUUUUAUUCAUAUUUUGUUUUCAAUCUUGAAUACCAACCCAAAAACAAGAACACUCUGACCUUCCUCCAGCGAUGUAUUGCGAAAAUGCCAUCCAAGAUAUCCAUGUCUUUCUUUCCUCAGUGGGAGAGAAAUUAUGUUUUUUGAGGAAAACAUUUCUGGAUUUUUCUUCUAACAAUGGAGUUCAUUGGUUACCAUCGUUUUUAAGUCCAAAUCAAUGCAGUUUCAAAAGUCUUUGAAGUGUUUAAACGGGCUGUACGCGAUCACAGCUGAAGAAGAGGUUGUCAUCUAGCGAAACGAUAGGUCGUUUUCAAAAAAAAUUAUAAUUUAUACUUUUUACCUUC
ensembl:lncRNA